rnacentral:rRNA from 1 species
UACAGAGGGUGCGAGCGUUGUUCGGAAUUACUGGGCGUAAAGCGCGCGCAGGCGGCCUUUUAAGUCUGACGGUGAAAUGCCGGGGCUCAACCCCGUUGCAUGCCGCGGAUACUGGGAGGCUGGAGACAAGUAGAGGCAAGCGGAAUUCCGGGUGUAGCGGUGGAAUGCGUAGAGAUCCGGAAGAACACCGGAGGCGAAGGCGGCUUGCUGGGCUUGGUCUGACGCUGAGGCGCGAAAGCGUGGGGAGCGAACAGG